UUUUUUUUUUUUGGUUUUGGUGAAAAAGACAAUUAGUGGCUGAUUUCUGCAAAAUUGUUUAAUGUGAUUAUUCUUUGUAAAUCAUGAUGAUAAAUUUGGGAUGUUGAUGUUAUACACUUGUCACCGUAGAUCAUGUCACUACUGCAGAUGGGGUCAUUGAUGGUGACAGAGAUUAUUUUUAGAAUUUGUAAUUUUAAAAAAUAAAUAUAAAAAUAUUGAAUCAUUGACCCAGCCAGUUAAACCGAUUGAACCGAAAAAAAUCGGAACCAGUAACUCAAUCGAGUCGUUCACCGGUCCGAAUUUUAAAACAUUGUCGUUCCUACCACUCUUCCGAUUAAAAUUGUACUCUGCAAGGAAGUUGAGGUGGUAAGGCAUGCAAGAUGCAAUGUUAUGCUUCCUAUUAAACCAUACAGUAAGGCAUGUCUCCUGUGAUACCUUAAUUGAUUAGCUAAUAUUAAAUGAGAAAACACAUAUUCUUAUGAUGUGUGGUGGAACGAUUAGUGUACCAAAUUUUGGCAUCCUAAAUCCAAUUUCCUAAUUUAUGGUCAAAUGUCUUGCUUUUCAACUAUUCAAAAAUCUCGUAGAAUUUCAUUCCAAGCAUGCGAGGAACAAAGGUCCAAGCUUCCAAGUUUUAUUGCCAUUUCCCACCUAGAGCAAAUUAUUUCCAUCACUUACACGACAUAAGUUUGACAAAUCAUAAGGUCUUGUACGGUCACUCGUGCUUCCGAAUGCGGCCGAUCAAGUCACAAUCGCACGCCUGCAUAACCAAGGGAGUAAUUGAAAAUUAACAACUUCUGGCCAAGCACCAACCAGAAUUUUGGCAUGCUACAAAUUUCACCUAGGUAAAAUAGCUCUUAAUCGAUGUAGGUUAGGAAAUCAAUACCCGAUCUUCACAUCAUUAUGUGAUGAAUUAUUGAAGACUUGGCAAUUAUAAUAAUUUAGAAGAAAAAAUACAAAAAAUGCAUUAUACAUUAUAGAAGUAUUCUUCUUAGCAUCAUCAUCAACACAAGAAAGACAAGUGAACAUGUCACAAUACUCAUUUUAUAAUGCAGUUCUGAAAUUCACAUAUUUUGAAUACUGUUUCAAAAAGAAGGAAAAAGAAUAAAGCAAGAUUCUCCCUAUCCACGUUUCAAUACAAUGUUGGCACCUGACUUUGCAAAUAUUUACUAAGUGUGCCUUUGUAUUAGCCGCCUAGCAUCUAAACCUCUAUGGGUACACUUUAACAUAAACCCCAGAGAUGAGUACAAAAUUGAUCAACUAGCACUGUCUUCAUAGAGAUGUAUUGCAACACAAUUGACAUAUCUCCCUGUGAUAUCUACUGGUCGAAGAAUCUGCUUCAGCCUCUUCACAUGGAGCGAGGAGAUGUCAAAAUUUUAGCUGCAAUAUCCACCCUCCAACAUGAAUCAAGCUGCACUUGCAAUAGUCUGAUUUGCAUUUGUGGAAAUGCAUUUGCUAGAUGAAUGAAGAGACCUAAAGGAUGAUUGUUGCUCAUUGCUCAAGGAAGAAAACCACUUUCUUACAGCGUCCAUUGCAACUGGUUGAUUACCAGUAGCAAAACUCUCAAAAUUCGCUUCAACAACUUCUUCAAAUGACUUAGCGAUUAGAUCAAGUAAGGCAAAUGCAGAAGCAAACUGGAUCAGAAGACCAAAGUCCUUAAAUGUGGUGCGGCUGAGAAAAGCAGACAACCAUUGCCUGAUGCUCUCAACUCCAGAAUUCUCAUAUCCAUUGGCAUCGACUCCAAUCCUGAGUGCAUCAUAGUACAAAUAAAUUAUUUGAUUUAAUGGAUUAAACCAAGAAACUACCAAGAAGUGCAUGUGAAUUCAAGGAAAAGAAACCCACAAUAAUGUGACAGAAACGGUCUUAGUGUUGGCAACGACUAGGCAAGAUAUGAAUUCCAGUGUACCACUAAAAACAAUGAGCUAUAACUACGCUGACUUAUUGCCCUGAAGAUGAAAUGCAGCACAUGCAUAUUCUCUACCAGUUUCUAACGCAUUUUAAGCAUCUUCAGCUGAUAAGGCAUUACCUUGCAACAAUCAGGAAAUCUCACAAAUACUGGAGCACACAAUACAACAUUACCACCAUGGAGACCGAGCCAAUUAAAAAAUAUUUUAAAGUUCACUUAAAUAUGUACUCUUAAGCCGCAUAAGUCAAUGACAGCAACUGUUUUUCACCUUCAAAUUUACACACUACCUCUUCUUCACUAUUGAAGGGAGACUCAAAAUUUGUUGGAAUACAACUUCAAAUGACUCGAGAUGAUAUUUACAACACAAUAAAUACAAAACCGACUGAACAUAAAAGGUGAUGAGAACACAAUAAGCUCUCAAUUGGCAAAUCAUCAAGACAUCAACAAAUCCAAACUCCGGAAGAUCAACAAAUUAUGCUAGUUUCAGGAGACUGCUGUUGCUUAAUUCCCUCCUUUUGUAAAUUUGAAUUAACAACUUGCUAUAUUACUAAAGUUCAUACAACAGUAAGCAUUUUUACAGCAAUAUGAUGUACAUUUGCAUGUUGAUGGCUUACCUCCCAAGUUGACCCAGAAGAGUUAUAAUGGCAGGAAAAAACUGCUCUUGGACACAGUCCAGCAUCCGAAAAAGCGGCAAGACAAUAUUGCCAAAUGUCCAGUCCCAGCUCUGUAUACGAUGGAUAAAUGGGUAAGAUUGAGAUAAAACUUCUUUAGUGGAGGGGAAAAUUUUGAGACAGAAUUAACAUCAAACAAUGUGUUUGGUUACUUAGGAAGAGAAAACAGGCAUCAACUUGUUAAAAAUAAAAAUAUAAAAAAGGAAAUGAACAAAUGAAAGAUUUACAAACUUAGAGAUUCACCAAAUCAUUAUAAGAUAACAACAGGUUUAAAACUCAGUAAUGGACGGGUUUAGAAAUUCUCAUAUACUUCUACUCAUUUGGUAGAACAUUCCUAACUGCUUAAACCAACUACAUUUUGGUUUAAAAGAAAAAGAAACACUUAAGAUAUACAAAAUUAUAACUGCUUUUCAUAUCUGCAGACUUUCCUCACCUACAUGCCUCUUUAAAUGUGAUACAUUAUAGGAUAAUAAAUGAGCGUGUGAAGUUAACAACAUCCUCAAUGGACACCAUCAAACAAAUAAAUAGACACUAGACAUGAACCAAUUAAUUCCAAAUCAACCUCAUAAUUUAUCCAAAAUGUAACAAAUAAUUCAUUACAACAACUUAACAUUAUUUCCCUAAAUUGACACCAAACAUGAACCAAAUUAAUUCCAAAUCAACCUCAUAAUUUAUCCAAAAAAAAGUCACAAAUAAUUGAUUACAAUAACUUAACAUGAUUUCCCUAAAUAUCCAUACAGUUUAAUAUCCAGAGUUAAGAACAUUCAAACUACUCCAGAUGACAUAAGAAAAUUACCUCUCUCUCCCAACUAAUCAACCUUUCUUUGUUGUUUAUGAUGUUAUAGAUUUCUCCAGUUAAACCCAAAAUAAACAAAAUCACAAAGCUACACAACUAUCAGGGUGUUGGUCCAAACUAACUCACAAGAAGAAAGGCAGCCAAAAUUGGCAGUCUUUUCAGUUCAUUCAAUUCGACGAUACCAGCAUAAGUAGACUUAUUAAGUGCUCCACAUUUCCAGCUCAAUCAUGAGUUCCCUGAUGAGGGUACUCAUAAUUGACAAGUGCACAAAUUUCAUUCCUGGACUACCAACUAAAAACAGGUUCAUCUUCAUAGAAUGGCUAAAGCUAUUGAGAAGCACAGAUACUUCUAGUAUAAAUUGGCAGAUCAUUUUUUGAGAUGACUUGAGAAGAGAUCCAUAAGCAAUGAUGCAAACACCUAACACUCCAUGGACGAGGAAACACUAAAAGCAAUACUCCCUUGUUCCACAUACAGAAACUUAGGCAGCAUACAAAAUUGUAGCAUGCAAAAAUUGAACUAAAAUUAUUUGCAACAACAAUUACAUUCUGAAAGCAAAUCCAGAUUUGGAACAUGUCAGAGUUUUAAAAACAAGUUCACUGGAGAAAAGAAUUAGAAUCUUGUAAGAGCGUGUCUUGAGGGUAUUUUGACAAAAAUAGCUGAUUGGAAGCAGUUGUAGCUCAAAGUUUACGAGUAACAAGCAUGCUGUGUUUCUCAUAGCUUGCAGCAAGGGAAAAUAUUGGGUCGGUUACUUUUAAUUGGCAUUACAACUUGGAAGCACAUAAUAAUAUGGCAGGGUAACGCUUCAUAAAAAUUUAAGUUCUCUACAUGGACAGUUAGUCCGUCCUAAAUUGAGCCUCAACAUGUAUGCCCUAUAUUGAGAAAUAUCCACUGGGCAGCAAUGUUGCUUCACAUCAUCCCAUACACAAGGCAGCCAAUUUGGAAAAAGAAUUAGCAUUAAAUUUAAUGAGCAUCCUUAACAAUCCAAAUCUAAACAAUCAUCGUAACAAGAUGGUUAAAAUCCUUAAAAGGUUAAAUUUUUUUUAAUUAACAAUGAAACAAAGAAGUUACUCGAGGUAAUCGGAUCAAAACCACUAAAGCAGGUACUAGGAUGGCAAAACUGCAGGCAAGCCAAACUCCAAAAAAACUAAUCCACGCAUAUCUAUUCUUAAAAAUUCAUCAUUUUAACUUCCACGCAAAAUCAUUUUUUUAAUCCUAUGGACAGGACAAUCUAUCAAUAGUUUCUGCCAGAAGUAACUAACAAAUUACAGAGGAACUUCGAGAUGACCCUCUGCGAAUAUGCUCCUGCCACAGGUAAAAUGACUUGUACCACAUCUGAAGAAGUUCCUAAGAAGUUUGCAAAGUGUAUUCAACCAGAUUCUAAGAAGAAUAUGCAAAAACAACUUCUUAACCAUAUUAGCUAUCAAGCAACAAAGACAUCAAAUUUUCCGCGCAAGUGAAGCUUGUUAAAAUUCAGAGAUGUAGAACCUAGUAAUUCCUGAAGAAUUUUGAAUAUAAGAUUUACAGAUAAGGAAGGAAGAUUAUAUGACAAAAGUUAUCAGCUAAAUGAUAAAUGUUUAAUAGUCAAAAAGCAUUGGAGCAACGUACCACAGAAACUGCCACAAGUUCUAGCAAUGAAAGCGUAUCAAUGAAGUUGAUCAAGUUUUCAUUAGGAACAAAAUUCGAUGGAAUAGCCUCUCCAUGGCAUUGAACAUCCAUCUUUUUCAUUUCCAAUAUCACUGAUUGACAACUUGAUGAAUUCAAUGCUUCCAUUUGUUCCUUAAGUUUUCCAAGGAGAAUGGAUACAAUAAAAUCAACUGAAACCACACCAUCCUUAAAUGGACAUGAACUACAUGCUGAAAUCUUCAUUGAUGUCCCAGCAACAGAAGGCAAGCAGGAAAUGCAACCGCCUGACAAAUCUUGCCUCUCAAGGAACACCACAAAACAUUUCAGGACAGACAUUUUUAAACUGAAGCCUUCUAGGGUAAAAUAUUUUGAACUGCAGAGAUAGGCAAAGACAUGGAGAAGCCUUAGCAGCAACAGAGAAUUAAUCUUCCUCAUGCUAAGUAUGUUGCAAGAGACCUCACAAAUGAAACCAAUUUCAUCAACUGCUGCAAAUAUCGAAGCUAAUAAUAAUCCGCCAGCAAACAGCAAGUCAGUGGAAGCUGGUUGGAUGGACCAGAAAAUGCAAUUAUCGUUAAGGACAACCUUGGCUCUUGAAUCAUGUUGAAGCAACACUCCAUGGGAUACAUCAUCAUACACCAAGAUUUGCCUAUUUAUAAGGAAAUCCUCAAUAAGAGACACUAGUUCAUGCAAAUCACAUGAUUCCAGAAACAUUUUCCUAGUAUCGGCAUCAUUCAGCACUGCAAAUACAGACAAUUUGAGAAGUAGGAUCCAAUGAAGCAUUAUAAGAAAAAAGGACAUCCAAAGAAGGGAUUACACACCUGCUCGCAUUUGUUGAGCAAAAGAAUCUAUAAAGCCAAGAGAAUUGCACACUAAAUCGCCAUGGUCACCAUUUGCAAUCUCAGAUGUGUAAUGCAAUAACAGCGAAAAGAACCCUGAGACCCGUUCCCUGGGAAAUAGCAAAGAGACGAAAAGCAUGUAAGCUUACAAUUCAAAUGAAGCAUAAUUACAGCCACCAGAUCAAUUCCAAGAAAAUACAUGCAAAUUCCACAAUAUGAAGAAGAACAGAAUAAUGAAGAUUCAUCACACCCUUUUCAAGAGAAAAUUGAUUAUAAAAUAUUGAAAAGGCAAGCUUCUAGCGAACCUUUCCACCAACAAGCCAUUUACAUACCAACUACUGCCACCCUUACCUGCCCUGCAACCCUAAUAUUUCAGUAGUAUGAAUUACCUUGUCCACAGUUCCCAUUUUCUGAGACAAAAAUUAUUAUAUUUUGUAGCAGAAGAAACUUCAAAAUGCAAUUGAGUAUGACUUCACAUGUAACAACAUUUAAUACACCAGGAAUACCAAUCAACAUCUUUAUUAUAACAUCUACACCAAUGAAAUGCAAUCGAAUAUGACUUUACAUAUAAUAACAUCUAUAUACCAAUGAUUAUCUAUACUAAAUGGAUAGUAGAGGGUUGGGUGUUAACUGUUUUUUGUCAUUUUCUGUAUUUCCUCAUUUACCCUUCACUAAAAAGCUAAAGAGUACCACAUCUUCCUCAAAAAAAAGAACAAAAAUAUACACUCGCAUUUAUUGGUGAAAAGAAACCUCCAAUGACUGCCUGUAACUUCUUUUUCUUUUAAGGAAAGGAAAACAAAAUACUCCCAUUUACAAAACCUAAGUAAACCUUUAAUAUUUGCUAAUUAUUUUUUUCUUAUUACUUUUUCUUCUAAUUUUCACACACAUAGGGUGUGCCUGCCCCAUUAGUGAAGACUAUGAUUUUUAUCUCCUAUCCAGUUAUCUCACUCUAUGCUACUUCCCAAGACAUCCCUGCUGAAAUAGGUGAAGCACAUCCCAUGCAGUUGCAUUCACAGCCAUAUUAACUUCUGCAGUAAGAGUACUACACUUCAAGAGUUACAAACUGUGUAUAGACAAUAUUUAGUAAACAUAAGACUUCUAAACAAGUUGAAUUUAAUAAGAUCCUACCACACCACCAGGAGUCUAGAAAAUACACUUACUGAGUUGAAAGAUUGUCGGCCUUCUGUAAAGAAAGCAGAAUAUUCUGCAUCCAUAACUUUAACGAAGAGUUACUCGACAACUUUGACAUACAAUCAGUGAUAAAACUGAAUAUCGUAGAAAUGGAGCUGCUGUCAUUAUUACUUGAGGAAACAGCACAGUAUACUGGAUACCCAUUGAAUGCAGCACUCCUGCUUUCACAGGGCAUUUUUAACUCAACAUUUUUCUGAGCAGUUGAUGCCAUGAUCAAGUUAUUGAUCUGACUGGAAGAAGAACUGCUCACGCAUAUAACAUCUGAGUCGUAACUCCCAUUGUUACCCAAGUUUUCAGAGCUUCCUUUAGUAGCCAUCCCAAGUGACAAAAUCUUUGAAGCCUCAAUGUCCUUCAAAUUCCUGUUAUUGGAAUCAAUCUCCAAAUUAACCACAUCAAAAUUGCAAGAUGGUACAACAUUCUGCUCUGCAUUUGAAAAUACUUCACAUAAACUCUCAUCCGGUAGAGAUCUAGAAGUACAAAUUUCAGUUUCAAAAGUCUCAUUAAAUGGAAACUCAAUAUUGCAUAGGACAGGAGAAAGGGGAGAAAUGGGCUUUCUAAUUGCUUUGCAGAAUCGGUUUUCAUCAAUAGGAUUGUCCAAUUGAACAAGUCCCAUGUAAUCAUGACCAAACACUUCUUCAGCGUUCGUUGGCUCAUGCAGCUUGCUUCCAAAAUGAUUAGUUAUGCCGUCCUUCAAAGUCGGGGCAGUUUGAAGUACAUCGCAUACAGCUGGUGAAGCAUUUUCGCAAACAUCAGAAUCUUCAGCACUGGUUUUCAGGACACAAGGGUCACACAAAUGAGGUACUGCUACACCUUGUCCAUUGGAUACUUUUUUCUUCUUAUCAGGUCUAACCAACUUGCUAUACAUAUUAUCUUGUACCAAAACUCUUUCUCCGAAAGAUUUAGGGCAUUCACCAUCCAACAUGCCAUGAAGCACAGAUAAUUUCUCUAAGACCUGCUGAUGCCACUUUUGACCUGCUGAAUAUAAAUCUUCAAUGGAUUCAACUGCAUCAGAAACCCUUUUCCUUUUCCUUUUCUUGUAGCUCCCACUCUCAAUAGCACCAGAUUUAAUAGGACUUCCUACACUAUUUUCGGCCCCCACUGCAAGUUUUUUGUCAUAUCUUUUUCUUGUAUCGCUUGAUAACCUGGAAGCGGUUGGUCCUAUAGUUUGUCCAUGUGCCAAAUUAGCUGAUGUAGUGACAGAAAAUGUACCUCUUUCCUGUGAGCCGACCAAUGGUCUAUCAGAAAAAGAUGCCGAACUGGAAUUUAUGGCAGAACUCUGUAACAUUUUUCUGUUGGAACCUCUAAGCAGAAGCUCCAAAUUAGAAUCAAUACCUGUAGUGGGACUUAAGUACAUCUCUCCAGACACAGGAGGCAACGACACAUUUAAUCUUUUGUUUCGCUUCAGUGGAGUAGAUCCACCCGUAGCAAUGCUGGUUAUACAACUUGGUUUUACGUGCUCAUUCUGAGUGUGAAGUACCAACUGCGAUGGUUUGAGGUGAAGAUGCUCUUGAUCCAAGUCUAGGCCCCCUUCCUGCAACAAGGAUAUAAUCUUUAGCAAAUAGAGCCAGGCUACAUAAAAUUUUGGAUGGCCAUAGAUCCAGAAAUGAAAGAAAUACUAGACAUAUAUAAACACGAAACAUCAAGCUAAUGGGCACAAUAACUUCAAAUUAUUCAAUCCUUAAAAAAAUUCUAGUAUAGAAUAAGUCUAGAUGGCUAGAAAAAAAAAAAUCUACCCAAUUCAUCAAUUACUUUUCCUAGUAGGUUCUGUAUUUCUUUCACUUUUUUCUCCAUGCAGUAAGGCAGCCCAUGUCUUCAAUUCCCAACAGGUUCAGUAUACAGUUGAGUAGAAAAAGGCUCACCAACUAAUAACUUUGGUAAAAAAAGAAAUAAUAGUCGCUCCAUCCCACUGUCUUCCUUCAACUUUCUCACCACCCAUAAAAUAGACUGGCAACACAUUUUCUCCUUGCAUAGUUCCAAACUUUCCAUUUUCUCUCUGCAUACUUCCAAAAUUUACAUUUUCUCCCUGCAUACUUCCCAACUUUCCCUUUAUGAUAACAAUGUAUCUAAUAGCACGAUAUUUGUAAUAGCAGGAUAUACAAAUCACACACAUCAAAAUUUUUUCAAGACUGCAUGGCUAUAAGAAAUGCAUUUCGUGAGAUGUCCACAUUAAAAGGUUCAAGCACUUCGUCGACUAAGCAGUCAGACCAAUUACCAUCUUUUGGGCAUAGGGCAAAGACUUGCAUUUGAAAUCUCAAGAGCUAGGAGAUAUGCUCAAAAUAAGUGUAAAGACAUAAAUAUCACUGAAUAUGAGAAUAAUACUUACCAAAGGAGAAAUUUUUUUUUCUAUAUUGGGAGGAAAGCAGAGAUUGCUGAUUGAUGCUGUGGAAUAUACUAUGCAAAUUUUUUUUUUCUAUUUCAAGAAAAAAAUGUUAACACCAAAUGAAGUAAACGCUUAUACAUACAAACACCACUUAAAUACCCACACCUAGACAUCCAAUGUCCAAAAAACAUGUACGCACUCUGUUAAAACUUUAGAAAGGACAAAGCGUUCUCAUAUUUUGCAUUUCCAAAUCCUAGCAAUCUUCAGUUUUUAAUUUUCCCUGGAAACUGCUUCCUCUUUCUUUUCUUUUUUUUUCCAGUUUCGGAACAUAAAAAACACUUCCCAAUAUUCUAAUGAUCACCUCAAUGCAUGGUGCAUUUUGCAGCAUUUUUGGAAUGCUAUCAAAACUUUCUGAGAGCCUACUAAGGCUUGUCUUUCUUUUUUGAAUUUUCUUUUACCUGGUUCAGAGGAAUGCCUUGAAAAUCACCACUUGGAACUUGCUUUUUACAGAUCCCAAAUCUCAGCUUGAAAAAAGACCAAGACACAAGUAGAAGAGAAAUAAGAAAUACACACCUUUUCCAAGUUAUUUAUACCAUCAAAUUUGUGAAAGAGGCAGUUGUCCAGUAAGUCUAAGCGCUGUGCAAAUGGAAUAAACUCCUGCUUUAGGCGAUGUACUUCUUGCUGAAGUAGACAAUUGCGACCUACUUCCAACUUAGCCACUUCUUUGGCAUGCUUUACACGCUUCUUUUCAAACUUCAAUUGUUUCCUUAACAGCUUGAUUUCAGCAGUUUCAUCUUUCAAACUUUUACCAGAUGCAGGAUGAGAUGACUCAAACAAUUUACCAGAUGAAACAAGUUCCUGAAUCUCUCUUUGCACUUCCUCCAACCUUUUUCUAUUGCCCUCCAGUUCAUGAAACAAAUGAUCUGCAUGAUUUUUUUCCUCCAUGGCUUUCCUCUUGUAUCUUUUUGCAGCCUUCAUCUGGUUUUUUGCUUUCUCAAUCUCAGAUAUUGCCUGCUUCUUUUCUCUAACAUUUUUCUGCUGCCAUUCCCCAAGCUUGUUACAUGCCUCUAGUGCACCAGCUUCACUCUUCCAAGUCAAGGACCCUACUUUACCAGCAAGUUCUGCAAGUCCACCAGGUGGGUUUUCAACGGGAAUGUCAACAAACUUUCUGUUAGAUACAAGAUUAGAUAUCUGCUUCUCCAAUUCUUCAAGCCUAUGUUUAUUUUUGUCCAACUGCCAAGCCAAAGCAUCAGCACGACUUCUCUCAUCCAUAGCUUUCUUCCAAUUUUCCUCCGCAAGCUUACCUUGUUCUGCAGCUUUGGCCUUCUCCAUGUCUGCACGCAUUCUCUCCUUAGUUGUGUUUUCUUUUUCAGCUUUGAGCUUCUUGUUUUCCUGUUCAUGCUUUGCUGUCUCCAACGCCAACUUUGAUUUUGCUUCAUCCACUUCACAUUUUAAGCUCUCCAACUGAUGUCGAAGUUCCUCAACCUUUACCCUUUCAAUAUCAGCAAUCCUCUUUUCUUCGCUGGCCUUCUUUUUUUCUGCAUUUAAUUUUUCUGCUGCAUCUCUGGCUUUUUUCCUCUCCUUCUCAACUUUCUCUUUUUCUGUAUCUACUCUCUUUCUCUCCUUCUGUAAAAGCUCCUUAUGCUUAUUUAUCUCUGUUUCAGCUUCUGAAACACGUUGUUGCAAAUUUGCAACCUCCUCAUCCACUCCUUUAGCUGCCAAACCUCCAUUCUCCUGCAACAAAAGAAUCUGAGACUUCAGAGUAGAAAUCUCAUGCUCUAAAGUAACUCGUGUAGCAGAUUCUAACACUUUAUCUUGCUUUUCACUCUCUGCCCGUGCCCGCUCAUCCUCAAAUGCUGAAAUGGAAAAAUACUCAAACAUAAGCAGACACAAAAAAACAACGACCUGAUUCCCACACCAAAAAUACACUAUCACAAAACUAAAAAAAAAUCUUGCACUAUGACAUUAAAACACAUGAGUUACUCUCCCAAAAUUAAAAUCCGAUGAUAUUCAAUUAGCAUGAUUUGUAUGAAAAUUUCUUAAAGUACUUCAUUAGAUGCAUAAAUGAGCUGAAGUCAGGCCUAAAUUUAGUUUGUUCAAUUUUUAAUUGAAUUUUAUGAAAUUAUAUUUUAAUUUGGCUUAUUAUAAUCCAACCUUAGCCCAUUGAGCUUUUAUCAAGCGAAGGUCAAGUUUUUGCUUGAUCAAUUCACCUAUAAGUCUAUAACUUCAAGUUUUAUGCUUAUUUAACUAAUACUGAAUCCAGUUCGACCUUAAUUUGAUUACUUGACGAAGCCAUCUCACACAGCCUGAUGAUCAAGCCGAACUCAGAUAUAGCACUUUGGUUCGUCUUUCAACCCUAAAUGCAAAUAAAUACAAUUAUUGUGCCUUGACUAACCCUAUGCAUCAUGAUCAAAAAUUACAAUACCCAAAAAAAAAAAAGCAACCGCAAUUUUCUUGAACUUGCACCAGAAAAACAAAUCAUAGUAAUAUAAAUUAUAAAAAGAAUUAUCAACAAUUAUGAAAACAUUGUACCUUUCUUGAGAGCUUGAUAUUCAGAUUUUAGCUUGUCAUUUUCCUGCUCAAGAAGUUUGAUUCCUUUCCGAAGAGCAUUUCGUCCAUCUUCAACCUUGGAAUGCUUCUCUUUUAAUUUCGUAUACUUCUCUUUCCACUAUCAUCAUAUUCAGAAAAAAAAUAUCACAUCAAUGAUAGAAUAUUCAAGAAAAUUAUGCAAUAAUAUUUUUGAAAAAUCAGUGAAAUGAGGAGAGCUUUACCUGUUGACAGCAGGAGUUGCAAGACUCAUCCUUUACCGUAACAUCUUCCUCCAUUACUAACACCAUUACAAAGUGUUAAUCAAAGUUAAGAUCAUCAAAAGCACAUCAUUCCAAGGAAAAAAAUUAUGAUUCCAUAUUUGCGGCUGAAGAGCUCACAAACAUGGAGCUUCUUCAGCGAUGGUGGAAAGGAAGAGGGCGGCGGAAGCGGAGUAGCGGGAAGUGGGAAGUAGGAGAGGGCUCCUGGACGACGGCGUUUGGGGUUUCUUUAAUUCUUACCUUUGAGUAGGGAAGAAAUCGCUUGCUAAUAGAACCAACUGCAUACUCUCAGUCUCAGUUCGGUUUAUUGUUGUGAUAUUUGUGGCUUAUUUGUUGUGGUUUAUUCCUUUCCGGGUGCUUAGUCGGUUUAUCCGGUAAGUGGAGGAGUAAAGGACGACUCUGUAAUUCUUGCGAAGAACCGGACAAACGAAUCAAACCGACUCAAACUGAAGAUAAUUAAUAAUAGCGUCAAAUUUUCAAGGGAUAAUUUCAGAAACCUGCCCCGAGAUUUCUAAUAAUAUCAUUCAGCUCCCCUAUAAUUUUUAAAAUCUUACUUACCUCCCUUAAAUUGACAUUUCUUGUAACAUUUUAACCCCUUUGGAGGAAAUAUAAGAAAGAUAAAACUUUUGUUUCAAUACUACUCUUAUAUUAUCCAAUUUAAGAAAUUUAUAACGAUAAUAAAAAAAAUAAAAUAAGGUUAAAUUUUUAUAAGAUGUAAAUUUCUUGACGUAAAGUAUUUAUUUUGGUUUUAUUAGAACAAAAGCAAAAUUUACACCUUAACAAAUUUAGGCGUAUGAAGAGACUAUUUUAGUUUUCAAUAAAACUUAAAUUACGCCAUGAAUUAAAACAUAUUUUGCCAAAAAAUAUCUUGACUUCUUUAAUUGUAACUGUGCAUGAAAUUUUUUAAGGUGUUAAUUACUCUCUAAAAUCCUCCUAAGUGGUUGAUCUUGAUUAGAUUUAAUUUAUUCAUGUCAUUUACUAUUUCACCAUGACUCCAAUGUAAAGAGAUAUGGAUCAUUAUUAGCUAAUAAUUUGUUUUUUUAAUUUACAUUUUUUGCUUUUAAAAUUUUAUUUUGUUUUGUAUUUUUGGUUAAAUAGCUAUUAAGAGCAAGGGUAAUGUUGUCAAUUUGUGAUCUUUGAUAGAAAUAUUAAGUCUAGUCAAGUUAACAACGGAGGUAAGUGAAAUUUUAAAAAAUUAAGGGGAGCUGAGUGAUAUUAUGACAAACCUCAGGGGAAUUUUCUGAAAUUAUCCCAAUUUUCCACGCUCAAGUUGGGGAGCGGUUGAAAUGAGUCGGGCCUAAAUUUUCUGGUUUGGUUAUGCGUUUGAGAAGAUAGAACCGACAUAAACUAUAAAUUGUAGGUGGAAUAGGUAAUUUGGUUUUUACGUAACCAUAGAGAUGAUAAUCCCAUCACUCAAGUAUAAUAAAAAGAGAGGAUGAUUUACUGUAACCAUCCAGUUUUUCCUAAUGGUACAUGAGUAGGAAAAUACAAGUUUCAGGAGGCAAGCUCUCAAAUUUAUUCCUCAAAUAUCCACGGCCCGCUUCCUCAAACAUGAGUACAUAUAUCUAUAGAUAUUACUAGUUCCCUAAAACACUGGACACCGAAUUAAUCAAGGAAAAGAUAAUACAAUUGGACUCGGACACUUUAACCGACAUAAGCCCAAGGAGACUAAAUACGACUCGGACGUCACACCAAUUUUGGACGCUGAACUAAAUAAUUAAAUAAGACUUGGUUUAACUUUCUACAUUGCCACCCUUAAACCAAGGUCUUCAAAAUCUGCUAGUUUUCUUAGAAAGAAAAAUAGCAUAAGAAAGAAUAUUUGGAGAACGAAAUAGACCUUAAAAUCUGCUAUGUGCUUCGAAUGAUCGCGGCCGAAUACUAAGUUAUUACACAUCAAACUAUCUGCUCUUCUCAGCUGGCAUUGAGGUUGGUAGUGUUCCAAAGACCUUAUCCCAUAAUGAGGAAGUGAUACCAAAGCCUUUAUUUUGGAUACGAAAGUGAUGAUUCAAAUGAUAUUUCUGCAAAAGAGAGAUGAUCAGAAAGAUAUGCAGAUCAAACCACUUGUGCAGUGGAGAAAUUCCUACCUUCUUCCAGGUUCAGGUGACAAAACGGCCCCAACUGAAUCAAGAAUUCAUACGGGCAACGGAAAAUUUGAUUUGUUCAUGACAGAUCAUUCUAGAUAUGGGGCUAAUGCAAGUCUAUGCAAAUUGUUUCUACUAAAAUGAUAGCAUGUAUCUACGAUCCGAGUUUGUACAUAAUUUUUAGUAUGUAGAUUGUUUUUUACACACAUGUAAAUGAGAAAUGUAAUGAGACUCAAGUUGUUCUGAUGGAUUUGUAUCUCUUUACCUUGAGGUUUUUUGGCACUUCACUUGUAGGCUGCCCAUGGUGCAAGUAAUAAUGGGUUACAUCAUACAUCACAUAACCCAGUAAACCACCUCCAAACAAAGCAGGAGCAGUAGAAGGAGUAGAAAUGAGUUUAAAAAGUUGUAGAACUGCAAUACAAGAAGAUUAGUAUCAGAAGAAGAAGAAUGUGCUGUGCAUAUACUCCUAAGAAUUAACUAAAAGGGGCAGACUUGGAAGAAAGGCCCGAGUUUAAGACUGCUUAUCUGACACGUGUAGCCAAGGCAAGCAUAAAAUGGAUUUGCAUUUCUUUUCAAACAUUUUUCUGUUAUCUGUACUCAUUAGAACAUGAUGUACCGUAUUCUCCAGUUAUCUCGGAUAAAUUCAGUCAAAAUAUUCACUCCAUACAGACAAAAUAUCAACUAAAGCUCAACAAACCUCCAGUGAGAGCUGAAAGAGUAAAUUGGAGCAGUUUAAGACAACCACCAUCCAAAAUGGCAGAAAAUCAGACGCUGAAACCAGACUCGAACUUGUUGUUUAGACAGUUUCAGUAGGUGAAAGUUCACUAUGUACUGGUCAGUACCAGUCUAAGCAACUACAUUUUCAACAUAUUCAAUGGAAUGUCACAAGCAAAUUUUUCUCCCUCCAUGCAUCUUACUCUCGAAGACAACAAAUAUUCAUGUCCAGUGCCUCUUAGAUGUCAUUGCUAACCCAGUAGCUACUAAAUUGUAUUUCUAGAAUUAUGGAGCAGAUAACAUCUUGCCCUCUCCCUCCCUCUCCCAUGGGGCAUGAAUCUGGUGGCCACCAGCCGAUGUCAUCCUCAACCUAAAUGCUAGCAAGGGAAGAACUUUGAUGCAAUGGCUACUCACUUAGGAAUAGUACAGAAAUCAGCUGCUAGCAGUAUGUCACAGUCAAAAACAAGUCUCACAGUUGAGAUUCCUAUGAAAAUUUCAUAUCCCUGACCUGGAAUCCUUUUCAGUCACAUGUAUCUUUUAUGCACUUUUAGUAAAUGUGUCAAAAAUUGCAUGAUUACAUGACCUGACUUGGUCAAUUACUGGCAGGAACAUUUGUCUGAAAGACAUGCGAGGAUCCCAGUAACUACCAAAUAGCCUUACUAUGAAUAUUGUAAAGCAUAGCACGAGUUAUUAGUAACGGGAAGGGAGUGAAGAAAGAAAAUACAGGCUUUAUACAGUAUGAAUAAAAAACGAAACGCUGCAGAAGGAAACAUACAGGUAAGCACAGCACAGCAGUUGCAGCAGGAGGGAAGACAAGGCGCAGACCAUCCAUGGGGUGCUUAUGAUGGCAACCAUGAAGAAGAUAAUGUAUGGUAUUUCCCCUACAACAAGUUUUUACAUAUUUCAUUACAUAGAGAAGAAAAAAAACACAAAUACAAAUAACACCGACAAGAAAGACGACAAACAAUUAACAUGCCUACACACAUAGCAAUGACUAACCAAUAACUUUUCGUCUUGAUGUGGAAAAGGAAACGAUGUAGAGUGUAUUCUAGCAAAGUCCAUACACCGAUUCCAGUUACCACCGUCAGAGCUAUUUGAGGAAGUGUAUGACCCAUCACAAUCGACUUUGAAACAAACCAACAUACAACUGGGAGCCAAACAAUGGGGAUUACCCACCAUUCUGUGCGGGUUAAAAACUAUUUCGAGUAAAAAUGAAAUCAACAUCAGCUCUGUGAAGCAUGACUUGAUAACAUACAUAUAAUAAUUAUUCAAGUGUCAAUAUAAAUGAAUAAUCAUAUUAUCAAAUUCACCAGAGAGUAUACCUCCCAAAAGUCACUUCCAAAAAAUCGGGGACCUUCCUUGCUAACUAUAGGCUGGUGAACCCACUCCUGAUAAGAUUCUCCAAGAUGACCUACCUGUGUAAGAUUUCAAAGAAUUUCAUAAAGCAAAUUCAAAAAGUUAAAGUAUGGUUUAAUUGACUUAAACAAAUAUAUCUCUUAUGUGGAACAGCAGCACUAGUAUCCAUCAGCUAGAAAAGGUUACAAGUCAAAAAGGAAAACAUGUUCUGCUGCAUGUUAGUAAAACAAACGAAUUGGUCUAUUAUAAGGCAAAAUGCCAUCUUGCCCAGUUCAACAAACUUUUUAUGCCUAGUUUUGUUUGUCCUUUUCACGGCUUGGGGGGUUUUAUUUGUUUUGUGUGGUGGGGGGGGGGCGGCGAAGAAAAAUGCAGGACUUAGACCUGUUGAUGUUUUCAUUUCUCUACCUUAUAGUUUCCUCUUUGAACUGAGAAUAGAAAGAUAAACAUGGCUGCAUCACUAAAUCUAGAGCAUAAAAAUACAAUGCAACUGGCAGGCUAUGAUAUUGCUAACAACAGUUUAUUUAAGUACUCACUGCAUGGGAAGGACAAAAUUAAGGGAUGCCAUUAACUCAACUUUUGCUUCUAUUCACCAUAGGAAUCUGUCAUUUCUAGUGACUGCAAGACACUGAACUAAUUACAAGGACUCUAGCAUGGGUGUCACGUCUGGGUGCUCCUCUAGGUAUCAGAUUCAUAAACUUUCUAGAAUUUGGGAUACUGGGACGCCAAAGAGUCAGGUUUAUCUGGAUAUAGUAGAGAAGAUAUACAUAAACAUAUACAUACAUAUAUUAUAUAUAUUAUACAUACAUACAUAUAUAUAUAUUAUAAUGUAUAAUAUUAUAUUAUAUAUUAUACAUAUAUUAUAUUUUUCGGCUAAUAGUGUACUUUAUUGAAUCUCUUCUGAAUGAUAACUAGUGAAGGAGGAAAAGUUUCAGAGAAAAGGCAAGGGUGGACCACAGACAUAUGAUUUAAGGUAUUAGGCUACUCAUGGAGUGUGUUAUUUGCUUGACUAUCAAGUAGUGGAGAAGACAAUGAAAUUGGUAUAGUAUAUAAAAUCAAUAAAAGUACUUGUGAUAUAUUCAACAUCAUCGUCAUGUGAGCCAAUGAGGUUACUCUCAACUUUCUGAUACAUAUUCAAUUGCUUAUCUUUUAUCUUUUGAAAUUGAAGUCUUCUGAUCUCUCUCACAUCUACUACUCCUUGCUUACCCUUUCCUUUCUUUAAUACGCUUUGAUUUCAGUGAAUCUCUGAAACAAAACCACCAUAUCCUCUCAUCUCCCUCUCCUGCAAGUUCCGAUCUUCUUCCCAUUCAUCUCACACCUGAUCGAAUUCAGAGCUACCAAGCAGCCAAGUAUCAAUUUAUUUUGACCAUGUUUGACACGGAUAUUACACCUGCACCCUUCACUUGUUACACCGACACUGGUGUUCCAGGGAUGAGUUAAGAGUCUGUAAAUAUAAUUCAUAAUUCCUAGAAGAAUAAUAGCUUGGCAUGCAAAGAUUUCAACUCUGUAUUCAGACUAAAGCAUUAAGACCAAAGAUAUUGUAAGUGAAAGAUAAAAAGAAUUAGGAGUUUUCACCUGGAAGACAAGAGGUUUGUUUAAAUCAACUGUGAAACCCUGAGCCACCAUCUUGGCACCAAACUAUAAAUGGUGUGACAUAUCAAAGGAAAUGAAAGAAUGAUUAGGCAGAUACAAAUAGGAUCAAAACCUAGUGAAAGAAUUUACACAUGAUGAAAAAUUUAGAAUAGCUUUUAGAACCAAGCUGAAGUAAUGAAACACGAACGUGAACCGAUCAUGAAUGACAAUAAUUGAAUUGUCACAACUUGAUUUAAGAAUUUCACACGAGCAACGUACUUCCAUCAGGCCUCAAAACCAUACAAAGGCAAGCAAAGCAAAGGACACAACACAACUUUAUGGAGGAAACAAUUCCAUUUUAUGAUGUUCCCUACUCUUCCAAUCUGCAUCUCCAUCCUUUAUUCCAAGAACUCCUAACGUAUUAAUCCUAGGCAAAUGACACAAGUAGCCAAUUUAGUCGAAGUAAUAGUAGGGAAAAAUGUACCACUCGAGUGCAGGGGAACUUGAUUAAAAUGGUACACAAGAUCAAUUUAACAUAAAAUAAGUAAGAAUAGCAGUUAUGGUCCUGCCACAAACCCAACUUAUGCCAAAUUGAAUAGAGCAUUAGGACUACAGCAUGGAGCUAGAGCCUUUGGUACAAGUACAAACACACAAUACCAAAAUUUGACAUGAGCAAAGGACAUAAAGAACACAAGGGAACUCACAUUUGCUUGGUAUACUGUCAUUUUGGAAUGCAAGCAAUUUCACAUUUUUUGUAAAACAAUACUAACCGAAUUUAGCAGAUAACAGAAUGAUUAGGGAUCUUGACCGAAUAUCUAGUAAAAAAAAUCCUGCACAGUGUCAAGUAGAUCUUAACAUACAUAUAUUGAUCUUGAAGAAAUGCCUUUUUGCAUAUUGAAACAUAAUAUUGGACACCAUCUCAGCAACAUCUACUAAACUAACUAGCAACAGAUAACAAGAAACACCAAAUAGCCAAUUAGCUUUGGCUUUCUCCUUGAAACUUUCCAAGAACCAUUUUUUUCCCAUACUGAAACCACCCUUCAAUUCUGAUUAAACACAUAAGAUAGCAUCCAUCCCAAAUGCUGUAAAAGUUGGGUCUUUUUCCAAGCUUUUAAAUCCAACCCAAAAUGCAGGUUACCAAUUAGAUCAAAACCCAAAAAGGGUUCUCAUUAUAUCACCAUUACAACAGAUCUACCAACCAAACAAUCAAUCAAAAACUUCAACUUCUCCCCAAAAGUUCAGAACAAGUAAAAACGAAGAUGAAACAAUGAUAAACAAGCACCGACCCAGAACAAUGCAGGCCUGAUCGGUGAAGUCCACAAAGGAAUUGGACCCGUUCAGGAAGAGGAAAACUGCUAUCCGCAAUAGCAAUUGCAACAGCAGCAGCAGCAGAAGGCAGGUGUCUUUGCUGCCACCCGUUCUAGUAUGGUAGCAGUGAAGAGUUAGGACCAUUAGGUGGAUAAUUUAUUACUUAAUUUACUAGUAUUAGUAUCAGUAAUAGUUAUUUUUUUGAAUAUUUGGAGAAAUUUUUGGGGAAAGGAUGGAUCUUGACCUUAGAUUUUGAUAUCGGCACCUGGAAUGGCACCAUCAGCCACCGGAUUUGCACGUUAGAAUCUUGAGAUUGACAGCCUGGCAAGGUGAUGGAGAUACAACUCAUACUUGUCUCUGUCCAUGUCUUGUUUGUUCCUUGUUGAGAGUCCUGUUCCCGCCGGUUUUCUUUUGAAUUUCAAGUUUUUUUUGCUACAUUUAAUUCUAGGGACAAUAUAAGAAACCUCCCUGAGGCUUUUGACAAUUGCACUAGCAUUCACUGAAUUUUGCAAAAUUACACAAACCUCGUUGAGGUUAAGGUUUUGAUAACGAAAUUAGUCCAAUUAAAAAAGUAACAUUAAAAAUACUUUAAGGAAAGAGAUGAAACUUUUAUUUCAUAAAUACUCCUUAUGCAUAUAUAAGUUGUAUUAGUAAAAGAAUAAAAAUUAGAAAUAAAUAAGAAAAAUGACUAGUUUCAUCCCUCACAUUUUAUAAAAAUAUUCUUUUCGUCCCUCGCUUUUAAAAUGAAGUGAAUUCGUUAUUGACAUUUAAAAACUAAACUAUUACAUCCCUGUACGCAACUUUCAAUCUAAGUCCAAUCACCCAACAACCCGAUUACAAAUUUCAAGGUUAUAAUUGGUAGAUCAUUUGGUUAACUCAACUUAAUAUUCAUAUGAAAAUUAAUGAACUCAAAAAGGAAAAUAAAUAAUUAUAACAUAAAAAAGAAGAAUUAUUCUUUCCUAUAUUGUCAUUGUAUAUAUUGAUAGGUCUAAAUACCUACCACAUCAUUUCAAUUGAAAUUUAAAUAACAAACUUGUAUGUAUGGUAUAUAUCUAGAUUCACAAGUAUAUACACUAACGGUACAUGAAAAAAUUUACCUAAAAAACAAACUCUACUAUUCCAAGACAAAAGAGCGACCUUUUCUAUUAUAAUUUUUUAUUUUUCAUUUUUUGGUUCAAUAAAUGUCAUGUAAAUGUAAUGGAGUUGACCAAGUGAUCCAUCAAUACUAUCCAUGAAAUUCGUUACUGGGUUAUUGAAUGGUUUGAUUCAUAUUAGAAAGUUGGGUUCAUGAAUGCAAUAGAUUCAAUUUUUAAAUGUUAGGGAUGAAUUUGCUUUGUUUUAAAAGUAAUGGAUAAAACAAUAUUUUCCAAAAUGUGAGGGACGAAACCAGUUAUUUUUUCAAAUAAUUAAUACACACAUUUCACCAUUCAAAAAGAUCAUAUUCAAUAAAUUAGAUAACACAAAUAAACAAGAAAACUACACUAAUGAUCACAAGAUUUAGCAAAACAAACUAGUCAUCUCUUUUAACGUGAUGUUUGCUAUAAUUCUUGUGUUUUUUAAUAGAAAAAAUUUUCUAAUUUUGCCUUUCUUUCGCCUUUACUUCCACAAAAUUACUUUCCAACUGUCACAACUUUAAGAGUUUCAAAGAAAAUAUUCUCAUGAACAACCUUCUUUUGUCCUAUUUUUUUUUCUUCUAUCAAAGUCCUUCUUCUCACAUUAUGUACAGCUGAUUUUUGGUCAUUGUCAAAUUCUAUCAAUCACAAAAUAGGGUCAUUAGGUAUAUCAAUUGGUGUUAUUUUGUAAUUACAAGUCAUCGUUCAUUAUUAAAUAAUUUCAACAGUUAUUUUCAUUAAUUAGUUACUAAUAGUUAAUUAGUGUUCUAAUUACUUAAUCGUUAGAUACUAGUUUCUAAUAAGACAUUAUGUCUUAAGGUAAAUGAAUAAUUUCUCCCCAUGUGAGGUAAGUAACUAGAGGUGGCAAUUUUCGACACGACCUAAAAACACGACACGAACCUAACACGAAAUUAAUGGGUUUGGGUUGAGGUUUCGGGAAUUCGGGUCAGAAUCGGGUUGGACCCGAUGAACCCGAAAAGAAAACAGGUCGAUUUCGGGUCAACCCGUGGUGACCUGAUAUGACCCGUUUACGAAUUAAAAAAUUUAAUAAACAUAAAAAUAAUUUUAUCUAACUAAACUAAGUUAUUCUUUUUUUCAAAGGCAUUAAUUACUUAAUCCUAAAUGAAUUUAUUUAAUUUGUGUGAAGUUGAAAUUAUUAUAUUUGGACAAAUAAUAUAUUAUAUUAUUUUUUACUUUUAUAUUGUUUUAAUUUAUUUUAUAUUUUGUUUGGAAUAAAACACUUUUACGGUGUUUAAUUUAUUUUAGAUUUGGUUUGGAAUUAUUUAUUUAAAUUUUUAUUACUUGAUUAUGUAAUUAGUUUUGUGAGAAAUUGAUUUUAUUAGAAAUUACAGUGAUAAAUUAAUAAAUUAAAAUUAAGUUUCGGGUCAUUUCGGGUCGACCCGCCAACCCGUCAACCUGAAAUUUUCGGGUUCGGGUCAGCACACCUGACCUGUCACGGGUUGGCGGGUCGGGUUCGGGUCAACAGAUUUUCUGGCGGGUUCACCCGAACCCGACCCGCCAACCUGAUUUGGAUCCGAAUUGCCACCCCUAUAAGUAACUAGGCCCACAAUUCUAAUCAAGAGAGAUGAGUGUAAUUUUAAAAACCUCAGAGGACACCAAUAAAAUUGUCAGAAACCUCGAUGGAGGUUUCUGAAAGUAUCCCAAAAAGAAAAGGAAAGAGAAAGAAAAGAAAAAUGUCCUUGGAACAACUUGAGGAAAUGAUCAUUUUAGUCUUUCAAAUUUUUUUAUUAGUGCCUUUUUGUUUUGGAAAGAUUUCAAAUGGCAAUAGAGUCGUAAGAGAAUCAAGUAGGACACGAAAUUAAAGUUUAAGGAUUAAAUUGACAAAAUAAAAAUCGAGAAACUAAAUUGACUUUAGUAAAACAGGUGAAAGACUAAGGAGCCAUUUGGAUUGCUAUUUUUUAGAGUUUUGUAAAAAAAUGUACUGUAUCGAUUUGAUAUAUGAGGUAAAAUGGUGAUUUUUUGUAUUGGAAGUUAUUUGAAACAAGUUUUUUUGUAUUAUUUGCCGUAACAUUUUUUGUCUUAUUAUGUAUGAGAUGUAAACCUGAUUUUGAAGAUAACAAGUGGUUUGAAAAUAUGUUUAAGGAAUAAUACAAAAAAUUAUAAAUAAUGAGUAAUCCAAUCAUAAUUCUUUUUCAUCCUACUAAGAGUUUAGCACUCAAUCUCCACUUAGUUCAGAUUACAUUCCUUCUCCAAAAAAAUGUGCUUUAUGAUAUGAUAUAUAUAAGACAAAAAAAAUUCUGAAAAGAUAGAGAUAUGAAUGGUGCCUUGUUAGUGAACAAUCCAAAAUAUGUAACAAAUAACAAGCAAGCAUAUAUACAGAUGUGUUAAUAAUUUGGGUUAUUACGUUUACCACCCUUGAGGUUUGGUCAAACUACUAAAUAAACCUCAAAAUUUAGCCAAAUAACAACCAAACCCUUUGAAUGAAAAGAUGUAUCAAAAUACCCUGAUGUCUUUCACCAUUAAAAAUGGUGUUAAUCAGAGUUCAAAAAUGCCCAUGUACAUCGAAUCUAUUCUAAAGCAACAAGAUAUAGCUUAUCAAAUGUCCUAAUUUGCUCAACAAAUUUUUUGACUGAAAAUCUUAGAAAUGGGUUUAGAGGUUUGGGGUCUUUAGGCUCCUAACCUCGCUUAGUUGUAGGCUUGUUUAUGCUCUAUGCAUGAUUAUUUUGUUAUAACUAUUGUGGGUUUUGCGCUUGAUUUCAUUGGGGAAAGAAAAGGAGUGCUACUGGUUUGCCUUCUUUUGAUUGGUCUAUAGCCACUGUGGGCCAAAUGCAAAUUUCACUUAAAAAGUCAGGCAGUAGGGAGUUACUGCUGGUAUCACAGUUGCUCUAAAAUAUUAGCCAAGAAGAUCAAGAUAAAUUAGAAAAAAGAAAUUAAAAAGGGAUUAAUGAGGGUUUGUCAAAACUAUGACAUUUUGGACAUAGGGGUUUUGGUCUUAUCAAUAAUUCCGUUUACAAGAUUUAACAGAAAUUACUCCCAAGGGGCUAUCUGUUAUUUGGUCAAACUUCAAGGUUUGAUCAGUAGUUUGGUUAAACCUCAAGGGAGGUAAAUGUAAUUAAUUCUAAUAAUUUUGUUGUUGCUUUCUUUCUUCAAAUUGAGGCUUUUGGUAAAAGAGAAGAGCUUCGGAUAAGGAUUGGGUUCAUCUGCUAGUUAGUUUUUGUUAUUUUCUAAAUAUGUAGUCAUAUGUGUUAGAAGAUAUUGAAAAUAUUGGAUUUUUGGCUAAGUCUUUUCUAAGUGUAGUCAUAAGCUCUAAUUUGGGAGGUAAUUCCUGGGACUUUCGGGCUAAUGCAGUCCGGGAUGGGAAUCUAAGAGUACUUGUAAAGCUCCAAGAUGUCUAUUUUCUUGUAUGGUGAGUGAUUCAAAUGAUCUUUCCAACAAAAACAAUGAAAAAAAAAGAAGUUGAGAGAAAUACUUCAACAAGUGCAAAAAGUGGUUUUUUUUCCCGAGAUGUAGAUUUUGAAAACCACUCGCAACAAAUUUUUUUCAGACUUUAAGAAAUCACAUAACGUUUGAAGGUUAUUUCGUAGUUUUGUAGCACCUUUUGAUGAUGAUUUCACUUAUUACAUUGAAAAAUGUGUGAAAAUGGUGCAAUAGAAUGAUUAAUUAACAAAGACAGUGCAAUUUUGUAUAUUAAAGAACAUUUAUAUCGGCUUCUCCACUAAAUGUAUGGUUUUUUUUGUACGUCUAAUUAUACAUCCUGUCAAAAAGUUUGUAUAAAUACCCUUGAAUUUGAUAACAAGUAGUAUAUAAUUGCAUAUUUCUUUUACAUUUUUUUCCCUUGGACAAAGCCACAUGUUAUAUUUGAGAGUCUCGCAAGCGGCCGUUCCCGCUUUGGUGAUGAGUAAAAAGAGUUUUUUUUUUUGUCGCAACGAUGACAUUUCUAUAAUCUACUCUAUUCUAUUUUAGGGGGAGAGGGAACUUAACCGACAUGAAACACCAUUGGAGGAAAUCAUUGAGAGUGGCAAAUCAUAAAUAGUGGCUGGUGGGAGUAAAAAGAGUGCUGAAGAGGGCAAAAUUGCAUCGUUCAUUAAUUGACAAUGUUAGCAGUUAGCACUGCCUUUUUCACUAAUCUUGGCUCUUGGGUAGAAAGGCCUAUGAGUCUGACCUUAAUAUACCUUACCAAGUCUUACACCCAAAUUUCCUUUACUCAUUUGGCGAAGUGCUUGCUUCACCAUGUUGAUGCAAAUUCGUCCCAGGAGUAGAAAAUCUGUACCUUUGACCAUCUGUGUCAAAGUAGCUUAUGGGCAGCUGAAACACUAUAACUACAUCCAAGUAGCUUAUGGGAUGCUGAAACACUAUUUUCACCGUAACUUUGCAUGGAAAACUUGGAAUUGAAUGUCAUUUGUUGCGUUGAAACUAGAUUUGAAGGGCUUUAAACUCAUGUAAGUGUCUCAUGCUAAUUCCUUACCCAAAAAUUGGCGAACCUUUAAAAUUGACCCUUGUAUUUCACUAGAUUAAGAAGAUAAUAUAAGUUAUCACUUAGGGGUAUUGUUUGGAGUUUUUAUUGUGGUAAAUUAGUGUGAUGAAUAGUCUUUAGAGCUAAAUUGAUUAUUUUUGUUAUAUCUAAGUAAGUAAGUAGUAGGCUACAAUUUUGAGUCCAAAAUACAUUUUUUUGUCACAAAUUUCUGUUAUCAUAAUCUUCUUCAAUUAUUUGUUUAUUGUAUACUAAUAUUUUAGUCAAAGAAAAUAUAUUUGAAACUUUUCGUUAUGUCCGCAAUAUUUAAUUAUGCUAUUGUAUAUAACAAAUGAUGCAAUCAUUAAUAAAUGUUAUAUUUAACUAAAUACAUAGUGUUUAAUUAUCUUAUCAAUAAAUACUUAAAUGAUCUAUAUACAGAUAAGUCAACUUUUCCACCUAUCUUGUCCAUUAAUUACGUUUGGAUUUUAAAAUAAGAAAGAACAAGAUUUUUAGUUUGAUCACAUGCAUUACAAUAUGUUACAUGUAGUUCCAAAAUUUUUAUUUUGGACUACCCCUAAUAUUUUAGAUAGCACAAUUUUAGCCUUAAUUGAUUAUACUAUUAUAUUAAUUGUACAUGAGUUACAUUAUUUAUUGCUCUAUAUGUGAAUUGCAAAUUUAAAAAUUAUUAGUAUGAGCAUUUUUUUACAUUUUUUAUAGGAUCUAUCGAUCCAAUCCUGCAACCACAAAAACGAUCCUAAGUAGAAUCCCGAUUUUGAAAGCCUUGCGUCCAACCCCUUUCAAUCAUCUUCACUUGCAUGUGCUAUAUCAUAUAUCCACAACCAUCAGCACUCUCAAACAGUCUCUUUGGAAUUUGCAAGUGAGUUUUCAAGAUACCAAAAACUGUUGACUCGGGACUUUGCUUUACAAUAAUGUCCCUUUUGAAUUCUAUGGACAUGUAUAAUGUUGCGAGCAAAUUGAGUUACUGGUGAACUGGCUUGGUCAAAGCUCGAACUCAAAUUGACUUAACAAAAUGUGAAUUACAAUUUGAGAAAUGGUGAAUUGAUUGAUUGGAAAUUUCCUUUUCUAUUGGGUUGAGCCGAAAGUUUCCUGAAAAAUCAGAGAAUGCUAAUCUCCAUUCUACCUUCUGAAUUCUAAACCAUCAAUCCACAUAGAGAUCGUUCAUUGUAGGAAAAUAACCCACAAGAAAACAACAAAUAAAUCUCACAAACUCAAAUCAUAGUUAUUAAACGCGAUCCAGUUCGACGGUUGAACCGAUUGACUCGAUGAUCCGGACAUUAGACCGGACUGGGUCUCUAGUUUGAUUGAACAAGAAAUUAAUCCAAUCAAAUUCUGACAAACCCAUUUGACCCAAUGAUUCAACCAAGAAUCUACCCAAUUUUUCAAUUGACCCGAUUUAUUUUUUUUCUUAAUUAUGGGUCUUUGUUUUUGAAACAAAAUAUAUAUAUUGUUUUUAUAAGAUUUGUACAUUAGAUCUUCAUUUAACUAUGUAUAGACUUUAUCACUUUCUUAGUUUAUAUUUGAUAUCUAAAUUUUUUAAAAAUAAAAUUAGUUAUUUUUUUUAUACAAUUAAUCCCUUUAACUUUUAUACUAACAAUAUUUGAUUAGUUAGAAAAUUACUUUAUUUUUAAAUAAAAAAAUAUAAUAAUAAAAAAUAAUGCUAUAUUUUAUAAAACAAGCGAUAUAAUUUUUGUUUUAUACUUGACUUAUAUUAUUUAUUAUUUAAAAGUAGGAUAAAAUGAAAUUAGAUCUUUUAGUAAUAUCUAUAUAUUUAUUAUAUAUAUUUCCAAGUAUAAUAAUUAGUAUCUAAAAACACUUUAUUAUAUGGUUUAUAUAUAUAUAUAAAAAUGCAAUUUUAUAAUUAUAAAUAUUAAAUUAAUACUCACCCGUUCAACCAGUGAUCCAAUCCUACUACUGGGUUCCUUACCGGGCCGCGUUUAAUAACUAUGACUCUAAUUCAGUAAGCAGUCGGAAACAAUUAGAUAAAACAGAAAACAACGGCACGCACCAAAAGCGAAGACGAAAUGUAAUGGUACAUGAGUAGGAAAAUACAAGUUUCAGGAGGCAAGCUCUCAAAUUUAUUCCUCAAAUAUCCACGGCCCGCUUCCUCAAACAUGAGUACAUAUAUCUAUAGAUAUUACUAGUUCCCUAAAACACUGGACACCGAAUUAAUCAAGGAAAAGAUAAUACAAUUGGACUCGGACACUUUAACCGACAUAAGCCCAAGGAGACUAAAUACGACUCGGACGUCACACCAAUUUUG
rnacentral:lncRNA from 1 species